AUGGCGGCGGUGGUGGAGCUUCCCGUGAGCGCCACACUAACCCUAGAUCGGAAGGGAGUGUCGGUGGGGAUUGUGGUAGCAAUUAACCUCGUUUCCAUUGAGUGGAUCGAGAUGGAGUGUAUGUUAGCGAAAGAUCAGGUGAAAAAGGAAAUAAUGAUAAGGAUUACAGAAUUAGAUAAGAAGAGGAGAGUUGACAUGCUUGUUCUACUAGGUUUAUGUAGACAAGCUGACUUCAACGCAGGAAAGCCAAAAUCAUCGUUGGAUGUUGCGGCAAACCUUUCGAAUCGUCCGUCAACAACAAGAAAGGGCGACACACUCACUGUAAGCAAUAACGAUGAGAGGUUGCUCAGUUCUUCACGCGAUGUCAAGCUAGCUACUGCUCGUGAUCUAACAGAAGAGGUUGUUGCCAAGUUGCACAACGAGAUUGAGAAGUGCUCGACUGGAGAGGUCUUGGUGCAUGAGAAGAACACAAAAACAUAUAUCAUAAAAAGCGUCAAUCCUUUAGUUGAUGAUGUUGAAGCAGUGCUUGGGUGUCAACAGGUUGAUCAUCUUGUAUCUUGUAAUGUCACAGAUUCAACAUUAUCAUCUAUCCAGAGUACUUGUGUUGUGGCUUCAGGCAAUUCACCUAAAGUUCCAGCCAACACAUGUAUUGGGCAACAAAAUGUAAAUGUUGGCACAUCUGACAUACAUAGAAACAACAAAGCAGACGGCAUGCAUCAGAAACGUGAAGCUCGAACUGGGGGAGAUAACCAUUGUAUUGAAAGCAGUAGCAAAGGCACUCUAGAACCGAUAAAAACUCAUGGAACUGAUGGCAAAGAAGCUGACAUAGUGGGAACCCCAAAGGCCAAGAAUGUGUCACAUGAUAGUAGCUCGGAUGUUGAUGCUAAAAAUGAAGUUAACAGUGACGAGGUGCCACUAUCCAAAAUACAUAAGUUGAACCCAAAAAGCAAAUAUACCUCAUUUACACUUCAUGAAAACAUGAAUUAUAAUCUCUCACUAAAUAUCCAUAUACAUAUAUAUGAAGUUCACUAA
rnacentral:rRNA from 1 species